rnacentral:rRNA from 1 species
AAUUUUAUAAAUCCUUCGAAAUGCGUAUCAAGUCUGCGUCUUCCGAUUUUAUCACCCCCGGGACUGGGGAUAUAACCUUUGCCAAAUCGAGCAAGCAGGGGACCAACAAUCAUAAUUGAACCUCUAAGUGCAGCGCCUGUGCUUUGAAUUCAGGACUGUCUAAAAAGUCAAUAUCCACUGCAUCCGCCUGAAAUGAAAAUUUCCCCUUUUCAAUACGGUUAACCUUGACUCCGAGGUUUUUUAGCAGUUCAAUCAAUUUUAGUACAUCUCUAAUUUCGGGGAUGUUCUCAAUGAUUACUUCUUCAGGAGUUAAUAAAACCGCACAAAUUACUUGUAAUGCUUCAUUUUUUGCACCCUGAGGUACGAUAGGGGGGUUUAAUAAGUCAGUGGUGAAAUCUGGUCGCUCAACGAUCAAACUGCCAUUGAUACUGUUAGACUUGAAUAAUUGUGAAGUAACUAGAAUAUGUAGUGUAGCGGUGAAAUGCUUAGAUAUUACAUGGAAUACCAAUUGCGAAGGCAGGUUACUAACAAUUUAUUGACGCUGAUGGACGAAAGCGUGGGGAGCGAACAGGAUUAGAUACCCUGGUAGUCCACGCCGUAAACGAUGGAUACUAGCUGUUCGACGCAAGUUGAGUGGCUAAGCGAAAGUGAUAAGUAUCCCACCUGGGGAGUACGCACGCAAGUGUGAAACUCAAAGGAAUUGACGGGGGCCCGCACAAGCGGUGGAGCAUGUGGUUUAAUUCGAUGAUACGCGAGGAACCUUACCAGGGCUUAAAUGGGAGUGGACAGCUUAGGAAACUAGGCCUUCUUCGGACCACUUUCAAGGUGCUGCAUGGUUGUCGUCAGCUCGUGCCGUGAGGUGUCAGGUUAAGUCCUAUAACGAGCGCAACCCCUGUCGUUAGUUGCCAGCGAGUGAUGUCGGGAACUCUAACGAGACUGCCGGUGUAAACCGUGAGGAAGGUGGGGAUGACGUCAAAUCAUCACGGCCCUUACGUCCUGGGCCACACACGUGCUACAAUGGCCAGUACAGAGAGCAGCCACUUAGCGAUAAGGAGCGAAUCUUCAAAACUGGUCUCAGUUCGGAUUGGAGUCUGCAACUCGACUCUAUGAAGCUGGAAUCGCUAGUAAUCGGAUAUCAGCCAUGAUCCGGUGAAUACGUUCCCGGGCCUUGUACACACCGCCCGUCAAGCCAUGGAAGCUGGGGGUACCUGAAGUCGGUGACCGUAAGGAGCUGCCUAGGGUAAAACUAGUAACUGGGGCUAAGUCGUAACAAGGUAGCCGUACCGGAAGGUGCGGCUG